GUGUCUCGUACGAUCACCGAAUUUAAGCAACCUUGAGCUUGAUCAGUACCUAGAUGGGUAACCGCUUGAGAAUACCAGGUACUGUAA